rnacentral:tRNA from 1 species
GGGGAAGGUUCGCAAACAGAUGAACCCUGCUAAUUUUCAUUAUUCCGGUUGAACUCCGGGACUAUCCCC